rnacentral:rRNA from 1 species
GACGAACGCUGGCGGCGUGCUUAACACAUGCAAGUCGAACGCUGAAGCUCAGCUUUUGUUGGGUGGAUGAGUGGCGAACGGGUGAGUAACACGUGAGUAACCUGCCCCCUUCUUUGGGAUAACGCCCGGAAACGGGUGCUAAUACUGGAUAUUCACUGGUCUUCGCAUGGGGGUUGGUGGAAAGGGUUUUUCUGGUGGGGGAUGGGCUCGCGGCCUAUCAGCUUGUUGGUGGGGUGAUGGCCUACCAAGGCUUUGACGGGUAGCCGGCCUGAGAGGGUGACCGGUCACAUUGGGACUGAGAUACGGCCCAGACUCUUACGGGAGGCAGCAGUGGGGAAUAUUGCACAAUGGGCGCAAGCCUGAUGCAGCGACGCCGCGUGAGGGAUGGAGGCCUUCGGGUUGUGAACCUCUUUCGCUCAUGGUCAAGCCGCAACAAUGGUUGUGGUGAGGGUAGUGGGUAAAGAAGCGCCGGCUAACUACGUG